GACGAACGCUGGCGGCGUGCCUAAUACAUGCAAGUCGAACGAACAGACGAGGAGCUCGCUCCUCUUACGUUAUCGGCGGACGGAUGAGUAACACGUGGAUAACCUACCUAUAUUCCUGAGAUAACCUCCAGACACCGGCGCCAAUACCUGCCAAUAUAUUGACCCGCAUGGUUCAAUAGUGAAAGACGGAUUUGCUGUCACUUAUUGAUCGAUCCGCGCCGCAUUAGCUAGUUGGUAAGUUAACGGCUUACGAAGGGAACGAUGCGUAGCCGACCUGAAAGGGGGACCGGCCACACUGGAUCGGAGACACGUUCCGGAUUCCUAGGGGAGGAAGAAGUAGGGAAUCUUCGGAAAUGGGCGAAGGCCGGAGGGGGCAAGGCCGCGGGAGUGAGGAAGGUCUUCGGAUCGUAAACCUCGUUUAUUGGGGAGGAACAGAUGUGUACGUAAAACUGCACGUAUUGACGGUACCUGAUCAGAAAGCCACGGCUAACUACGUG
rnacentral:rRNA from 1 species